rnacentral:rRNA from 1 species
GUAUAUUAACUGUGCAAAGGUAGCAUAAUAAUUAGUUUUUUAAUUGAAAGCUUGUAUGAAUGGUUAGACAAAAAAAUAACUGUCUCUUUAUUGUUUAUGGAAUUUAACUUUUAAGUGAAAAGGCUUAAAUUUUUUAGAGUGACGAUAAGACCCUAUAAAAGUUUAUAUAUAGAUUAAUAUAUCUUAAAUUAUUUAUAUUUAGUUAAUUUGAUUGUUAUAUUUUAUUGGGGUGAUAAAAAAAUAUAUAUUAACUGUUUUUUUUUUAAUACAAUUUUAAAUGAAAUAUUAGUGAUCCUUUUAAAGAUUAAAAGAUAAAGUUACUUUAGGGAUAACAGCGUAAUUUUUUUUGAAAGUUCAUAUUAAUAAAAAAGUUUGCGACCUCGAUGUUGAAUUAAAAUGUCUAUUAAAUGCAGCAGCU